rnacentral:tRNA from 1 species
GCGUGCUUAUUGGUGUCGAUUAGAGUGUUUAUCCGGUCUACGAAACCGGGGGCCGCAGGUUCGAAUCCUGCCGGGUGCGCCA